rnacentral:rRNA from 1 species
AAUAGAUACCCGGUAGUCCACGCCGUAAACGAUGAGUGCUAAGUGUUAGGGGUUUCCGCCCCUUAGUGCUGCAGCUAACGCAUUAAGCACUCCGCCUGGGGAGUACGGUCGCAAGACUGAAACUCAAAGGAAUUGACGGGGGCCCGCACAAGCGGUGGAGCAUGUGGUUUAAUUCGAAGCAACGCGAAGAACCUUACCAGGUCUUGACAUCCCAUUGACCACUAUGGAGACAUAGUUUUCCCUUCGGGGGCAACGGUGACAGGUGGUGCAUGGUUGUCGUCAGCUCGUGUCGUGAGAUGUUGGGUUAAGUCCCGCAACGAGCGCAACCCUUGUUCUUAGUUGCCAUCAUUUAGUUGGGCACUCUAAGGAGACUGCCGGUGACAAACCGGAGGAAGGUGGGGAUGACGUCAAAUCAUCAUGCCCCUUAUGACCUGGGCUACACACGUGCUACAAUGGACGGUACAAACGGUUGCCAACCCGCGAGGGGGAGCUAAUCCGAUAAAACCGUUCUCAGUUCGGAUUGUAGGCUGCAACUCGCCUACAUGAAGCC